rnacentral:lncRNA from 1 species
GCGCGCGCAGGAACUUGGAUCUCAACCCCAGGGCUAGGUGCCUCCUCCCGCUGCUUUCCGCCAGCUGCGGGGUGUGAGAUUAAUCCCCGCCGAUUAGCGCCAGGUGUACUAAUCCCUGGAUGGUUCCCUGACCAGAUGAAACAUCAGCCGAUGUUCUAAUGCCCGUCCCCUGGGCACUGUCCCCGAGAGGGAAAACCUGUUUUCUGACCCCGGCUCUAGUCGGCCUCUGGAGAUCUGCAGCUGGGUUAUUUUACUUCUGAAACGGACGACACCUGCCCCGCGCACCCCAGCGGCUCCUCCACACGGAGAGAUGGUGUCAGUCAAAGGCCGUCUAGAUGACGAGUUUAUGAAAUUGUUCCUGGCCCGUGCCGGGCACGACCUUGCAGAGAGCCCAGAAGAUGAAACCCCAGCCCUGCCAGGAGCUCACCUGCUAAUUAGGAGGACAACGAAUCACCUCACCUCCCUAGACUUUGCUUCUCCUUUAUUCAGUGAGGGAUUGGACUAGCUGGUCCUUAAGGACUUUUCAGAAAGUCUGGUUCUGGGAGAUGACCAAUGGGAUCAUCUUAUGCUAUGAGCUUUCCUGGAAUGACAGGUAAUGGAGAGUGAGGAGAUUUUACCUGAUAUGGUCCUGUUUGCACCGUCAGCCAGCAACCUUUCUGGGAAGCAUGCUUAUUAUGUACCAACAUAGAAGCUUGAAUAUAAGAACAGAACACAAGAACGGGGCUGAAGCUCUAACAGAAAAGACAUAAGACCCUUGAGAAAGCAUUACUUGAACACAAGGUUUCUGGGACAUUAAACAUGGGUAUAAGUGCUGCUAUAGUACCUUUCUGGGGAAGACUUCCUCCUGUCUCGGGGACUUAGGCAUCAUUAUCAAAGGCAGGGUGGGAUGAAGAAAGUAAGGUGAAUGCUCUGGUAGACUGAGAAGUCUAGGAUAUACAGGGGGACUUCAGGUGUCAAAACAAGAGGAGAAGGCUUCAGAAGCACACAAUGUCAGGGUUGGAAUUGAAGCCAGGUUGCAGCCCAAAGGGGACAGA